rnacentral:rRNA from 1 species
CGUCAGGACGAACGCUGGCGGCGUGCUUAACACAUGCAGGUCGAACGAUGACGAUGGUGCUUGCACCGUCUGAUUAGUGGCGAACGGGUGAGUAACACGUGAGUAACCUGCCCUCCUCUUCGGGAUAACCGCCGGAAACGGUGGCUAAUACCGGAUAUGAAUGCCUGCCGCAUGGUGGGUGUUGGAAAGAUUUAUCGGUGGGGGAUGGACUCGCGGCCUAUCAGUUUGUUGGUGAGGUAAUGGCUCACCCAAGGCGAUGACCGGGUAGCCGGCCUGAGAGGGCGACCGGCCACACUGGGACUGAGACACGGCCCAGACUCCUACGGGAGGCAGCAGCGGGGAAUAUUGCACAAUGGGCGAAAGCCUGAUGCAAGCGACGCCGCGUGGGGGAUGACGGCCUUCGGGUUGUAAGCCUCUUUCAGCAGGGAAGAAGCGAGAGUGACGGUACCUGCAGAAGAAGCGCCGGCUAACUACGUGCCAGCCGCUGC